rnacentral:misc_RNA from 1 species
GAUGAAGAACGCAGUGAAAUGCGAUAAGUAAUGUGAAUUGCAGAAUUCAGUGAAUCAUCGAAUCUUUGAACGCACAUUGCGCCCCUUGGUAUUCCGAGGGGCAUGCCUGUUCGAGCGUCAUUAUAACCCCUCAAGCUCAGCUUGGUGUUGGGGCCUGCUGCACUGGCAGCCCUUAAAAUCAGUGGCGGCGCCAUCUGGCUCUAAGCGUAGUAAUUCUUCUCGCUAUGGAGUCCUGGUGGAUGCUUGCCAUCAACCCCCAAUUUUUCUAUGGUUGACCUCGGAUCAGGUAGGGAUACCCGCUGAACUUAAGAAUAUCAAUAAGCGGAGGA